rnacentral:rRNA from 1 species
GAUGAACGCUGGCGGCGUGCCUAAUACAUGCAAGUCGAACGCAUCACUUCGGUGAUGAGUGGCGAACGGGUGAGUAAUACAUAAGUAACCUAGCCGCUGGAGGGGGAUAACUAUUGGAAACGAUAGCUAGGACCGCAUAGGAAUAGGAAUCGCAUGAUGAAUAUGUUAAAUAUCCCACGGGAUAGCGAGAGGAUGGACUUCUGGCGCAUUAGCUGGUUGGUGAGGUAGAGGCUCACCAAGGCGACGAUGCGUAGCCGACCUGAGAGGGUGGACGGCCACACUGGGACUGAGACACGGCCCAGACUCCUACGGGAGGCAGCAGUAGGGAAUUUUCGGCAAUGGGCGAAAGCCUGACCGAGCAACGCCGCGUGAGGGAGGAAGUACUUCGGUAUGUAAACCUCUGUUAUAAAGGAAGAACGGCAUAUGUAGGGAAUGACAUAAGAGUGACGGUACUUUAUGAGGAAGCCACGGCUAACUACGUGCCAGCCGCCGCUGUAAUAC